rnacentral:rRNA from 1 species
CCUACGGGGGGCUGCAGUAGGGAAUAUUGGUUAAUGUGCGAAAGCGCGAACCAGCAACGCCGCGUGUACGAUGAAGGCCUUCGGGUUGUAAAGUACUUUUCACCGGGAAGAGGAAGGACGGUACCGGUGGAAUAAGUCUCGGCUAACUACGUGCCAGCAGCCGCGGUAACACGUAGGAGACGAGCGUUAUCCGGAUUUACUGGGUGUAAAGCGCGUGCAGGCGGUUUGUUAAGUUGGAUGUGAAAGCUCCCGGCUAAACUGGGAGAGGUCGUUCAAAACUGGCAGACUAGAGUGUGGUAGAGGGGAGUGGAAUUCCGAGUGUAGCGGUAAAAUGCAUAGAUAUUCGGAAGAACACCAGUGGCGAAGGCGACUUCCUGGACCACAACUGACGCUCAGACGCGAAAGCCAGGGUAGCAAACGGGCUUAGAUACCCUGGUAGUC